CAUGCCCUAAGCACCACCACACAGCAAAUGUAGUUAUGUUAAAAAUCACAUUGUCGAAGGGGAUAAUACUAGGUCUGUCAGCCAGAUGGAUGGCUCAUAUCCCCACUAAACAUCUUUUUUUUCUGAGGGCAGCUCUCUUUCUGUCAUCUCUGGAAAUUGAGAUGGGAUGCAUGUUCACCGAGCGACGGGUUGACCCGAUAUGUUAGCUGUUGAUUGACGAAGCAGCUAUAGUGCAUCGGUGGAAUGCAGAGGCAAACUGUUGCUUCACUCUGAACAGGGUUAAAGAGGUUGAGCAGAGUGGUGGUGAAGCUCCGGAUCAAACACCCUUCCUUGAACAACCUCCGUCUGCUUGGGUGGACUGAGUGUGAGAGGCGGAUGAGAGAAGAGACGGGGAAUAUGAAUCAUGCCAUUGGCCCGUGGGCUCUGGGCCCGUCCUACAGCUGUGCCCUGCACAUCCCACAAUUGAAAACAGGCUGACAGGGAAAACGUUGACACACACACACACACACACACACACACCAGAGUUGAGUGACCAAUGCUAUUGGCACGGCAUAUCACAAGUCUCAAGUUCACAGUCUGUGAAAAACAAAGGAGAGCAAAGCUCCUAUUGGGCUGUUUUGUUCAUUGUGGGCUGCGAGACACAAAAAAACAGCUUUUCUUCUUGGUUUCAUUGGGCACCUGAACCGUUCUAACUCUCAUCAAAAUACAGCUUUUCUUCUUGGUUUCAUUGGGCACCAGAACCAUUCCAACUCUCAUCAAAAAACUGCUUUUCUUCUUGGUUUCAUUGGGCACCAGAACCAUUCUAACUUUCAUCAAAAAACUGCUUUUCUUCUUGGUUUCAUUGGGCACAUGAACCAUUCUAACUCUCAUCAAAAAACUGCUUUUCUUCUUGGUUUCAUUGGGCACAUGAACCAUUCUAACUCUCAUCAAAAAACAGCUUUUCUUCUUGGUUUCAUUGGGCACCUGAACCGUUCUAACUCUCAUCAAAAAACAGCCUGUAAUCCUGCAAUUACAGUUUUAAUUAAACAAUCUUAAUUAAA